rnacentral:rRNA from 1 species
GAUGAACGCUGGCGGCGUGCCUAAUACAUGCAAGUCGAGCGAGCGGCGGACGGGUGAGUAAGGUCUGGGAAACUGCGUGAGGGAGGGGGAUAACUACUGGGAACGGUAGCUGAUACCGCAUACCAUCAGAUGUGCCCAGAUGGGGUUAGCUGGUAGGGAGGGUAAUGGCUCACCUAGGCGACGAUCCCGAGCUGGUCUGAGAGGAUGACCAGCCACACCGGAACUGAGACACGGGCCAGACCCCUACGGGAGGCAGCCGUGGGGAAUAUUGCACAAUGGGCGCAAGCCUGAUGCAGCCAUGCCGCGUGUGUGAAGAAGGCCUUCGGGUUGGAAAGCACUUUCAGCGAGGAGGCGUUACUCGCAGAAGAAGCACCGGCUAACUCCGUGCCAGCAGCCGCGGUAAUAC